AAUAUUGGACAAUGGGGGAAACCCUGACCCAGCCAUGCCGCGUGUGUGAAGAAGGCCUUCGGUUUUUAAAGCACUUUAAGUUGGGAGGAUGGGUUUUUGGUUAUUCCCCUGAAUUUUUCACGUUACCAACAGAUAAAGCCCGGGCUAACUCUUUGCCAGCAGCCGCGGUAAUACAGAGGGUGCAAGCGUUAAUCGGAAUUACUGGGCGUAAAGCGCGCGUAGGUGGUUCAGUAAGAUGGGUGUGAAAUCCCCGGGCUUAACCUGGGAACUGCUUUCAUAACUGCUGAGCUAGAGUACGGUAGAGGGUAGUGGAAUUUCCUGUGUAGCGGUGAAAUGCGUAGAUAUAGGAAGGAACACCAGUGGCGAAGGCGACUACCUGGACUGAUACUGACACUGAGGUGCGAAAGCGUGGGGAGCAAAC
rnacentral:rRNA from 1 species